GAUGAACGCUGGCGGCGUGCCUAAUACAUGCAAGUCGAGCGAACAGACGAGGAGCUUGCUCCUCUGACGUUAGCGGCGGACGGGUGAGUAACACGUGGAUAACCUACCUAUAAGACUGGGAUAACUUCGGGAAACCGGAGCUAAUACCGGAUAAUAUAUUGAACCGCAUGGUUUAAUAGUGAAAGACGGUUUUGCUGUCACUUAUAGAUGGAUCCGCGCCGCAUUAGCUAGUUGGUAAGGUAACGGCUCACCAAGGCAACGAUGCGUAGCCGACCUGAGAGGGUGAUCGGCCACACUGGAACUGAGACACGGUCCAGACUCCUACGGGAGGCAGCAGUAGGGAAUCUUCCGCAAUGGGCGAAAGCCUGACGGAGCAACGCCGCGUGAGUGAUGAAGGUCUUCGGAUCGUAAAACUCUGUUAUUAGGGAAGAACAAAUGUGUAAGUAACUAUGCACGUCUUGACGGUACCUAAUCAGAAAGCCACGGCUAACUACGUG
rnacentral:rRNA from 1 species